rnacentral:rRNA from 1 species
GAUGAACGCUGGCGGCGUGCCUAAUACAUGCAAGUCGAGCGAACGGACGAGAAGCUUGCUCCUCUGAUGUUAGCGGCGGACGGGUGAGUAACACGUGGAUAACCUACCUAUAAGACUGGGAUAACUUCGGGAAACCGGAGCUAAUACCGGAUAAUAUUUUGAACCGCAUGGUUCAAAAGUGAAAGACGGUCUUGCUGUCACUUAUAGAUGUAUCCGCGCUGCAUUAGCUAGUUGGUAAGGUAACGGCUUACCAAGGCAACGAUGCAUAGCCGACCUGAGAGGGUGAUCGGCCACACUGGAACUGAGACACGGUCCAGACUCCUACGGGAGGCAGCAGUAGGGAAUCUUCCGCAAUGGGCGAAAGCCUGACGGAGCAACGCCGCGUGAGUGAUGAAGAUCUUCGGAUCGUAAAACUCUGUUAUUAGGGAAGAACAUAUGUGUAAGUAACUGUGCACAUCUUGACGGUACCUAAUCAGAAAGCCACGGCUAACUACGUG